GACGAAGGGGGCUAGCGUUGUUCGGAAUUACUGGGCGUAAAGCGAGUGUAGGCGGUUGUUCAAGUCAGGUGUGAAAGCCUUGAGCUCAACUCAAGAAAUGCACUUGAUACUGGAUGACUAGAGGACCGGAGAGGAUAGUGGAAUUCCCAGUGUAGUGGUGAAAUACGUAGAGAUUGGGAAGAACACAGUGGCGAAGGCGGCUAUCUGGCCUGUUCUUGACGCUGAGGCGCGAAAGCUAGGGGAGCAAACGGG
rnacentral:rRNA from 1 species